rnacentral:rRNA from 1 species
GGUUAAGCGACUAAGCGUACACGGUGGAUGCCCUGGCAGUCAGAGGCGAUGAAGGGCGUGCUAAUCUGCGAUAAGCGCCGGUAAGGUGAUAUGAACCGUUAUAACCGGCGAUACCCGAAUGGGGAAACCCAGUGUGACUCGUCACACUAUCAUUAACUGAAUCCAUAGGUUAAUGAGGCGAACCGGGGGAACUGAAACAUCUAAGUACCCCGAGGAAAAGAAAUCAACCGAGAUUCCCCCAGUAGCGGCGAGCGAACGGGGAGGAGCCCAGAGCCUGAAUCAGCAUGUGUGUUAGUGGAAGCGUCUGGAAAGGCGCGCGAUACAGGGUGACAGCCCCGUACACAAAAGCGCAUGUGCUGUGAGCUCAAUGAGUAGGGCGGGACACGUGGUAUCCUGUCUGAAUAUGGGGGGACCAUCCUCCAAGGCUAAAUACUCCUGACUGACCGAUAGUGAACCAGUACCGUGAGGGAAAGGCGAAAAGAACCCCGGCGAGGGGAGUGAAAAAGAACCUGAAACCGUGUACGUACAAGCAGUGGGAGCCCCACCACUAAGCCAGUGGUGAACUCCACAUACGCAUCCUUUGCUGAGGAUACGGUUAAGGGAGCGAAAGCGACGUUCAACCGCAAAAGAAGCAGAGGGGGCUUAGUGGUGGGGUGACUGCGUACCUUUUGUAUAAUGGGUCAGCGACUUAUAUUCUGUAGCAAGGUUAACCGUAUAGGGGAGCCGUAGGGAAACCGAGUCUUAACCGGGCGUUAAGUUGCAGGGUAUAGACCCGAAACCCGGUGAUCUAGCCAUGGGCAGGUUGAAGGUUGGGUAACACUAACUGGAGGACCGAACCGACUAAUGUUGAAAAAUUAGCGGAUGACCUGUGGCUGGGGGUGAAAGGCCAAUCAAACCGGGAGAUAGCUGGUUCUCCCCGAAAGCUAUUUAGGUAGCGCCUCGUGAACUCAUCUCCGGGGGUAGAGCACUGUUUCGGCUAGGGGGUCAUCCCGACUUACCAACCCGAUGCAAACUGCGAAUACCGGAGAAUGUUAUCACGGGAGACACACGGCGGGUGCUAACGUCCGUCGUGAAGAGGGAAACAACCCAGACCGCCAGCUAAGGUCCCAAAGUCAUGGUUAAGUGGGAAACGAUGUGGGAAGGCCCAGACAGCCAGGAUGUUGGCUUAGAAGCAGCCAUCAUUUAAAGAAAGCGUAAUAGCUCACUGGUCGAGUCGGCCUGCGCGGAAGAUGUAACGGGGCUAAACCAUGCACCGAAGCUGCGGCAG